rnacentral:lncRNA from 1 species
AGACCUAGUAGUUUACUUUACUUUGCUGAUAUUUGUGCUGGACCAGGUGGAUUUUCUGAGUAUGUGCUGUGGCGAAAAAGUUGGAAAGCCAAAGGUGUUGGAUUUACAUUACGUAAUGCAAAUGAUUUCAAAUUAAAUGAUUUUUUUGCUGGUUCUCCUGAGUCAUUUGAAGCUUUUUAUGGUAAUUAUUAUAUAACAAUGAAUUUAAUAAACCAUCAGUGAUUUAAUCAUUUACUCAAAUAGUCUUACGUAUAUAUUGAGAUGUGUAAAAUAUUUAUAUACUGUUACCAUACCUUUUUACCUUACAAAUCUACUUAAUAUAAUUUGAAUUUAAAUAUUUUAACGAAAUUAUAAAUAUGUCUAAUAAAAUAAGUAUUUAUUAUUAUAUUUUUUUUAAAAGCAUGUCCUUGUAAAUUAUUAACCAAAUAGUCUUAAAUUUGUUAAUUUGUAUUUAUUCUUUACUGACAAAACAUUUUAAAAAAUAGUAACUAAGGUCACAACUUGUUCAAUAAUAUGAUAUCUCUUAUAUUUCAAAAAAAAUGUUACAUAUAUACAGCCAGCUUGCGAUAUAACAAAUUUCAAGAGACCAAAAAAAAAUAAAUUUGGUAUACCAAAGGCAUAAACCAACAAAUUUUGUUUUAACAAAAUUUAAAUUAACACAUUUUAAACACAUAUUAAUUUUCAUUGAAUAAUAUUUUUACACAUAUAUUAUAUAUAUAAUAUAUAUAUUUAUAUGUAUACAGUAAAAUCACAAUAGGUAUGAAAUGCAAAACGUUUUUGAGCAUGCAGUCGCUUUUGACAUAGCAACGAAACUGAAUUAUUACAUAAUAAAUAGUUAUAUAAAGCAUAUUUUUGAAAAAUUUUUGUAUUAUACAUUUAUUGACAUUUUAUCUUAUCUGAAUAUCGAUAAUACUAGAAUACUAGAAUAGUACUAGAAAAACUGAGUAAUGGCAAGCCAUUUAUUUUUAUUAGUUAUAACAGUUAUGUACUUUUUAUUGAUUCAUAAUACACUAGCAGACGUGUAUCUUAUUUUAAUAUAAAUUAAAAAUUAGUAAUAUUAAGCAAAAAAAUUGUAAAAAUUUGUUAUGUCGCAAGAAUUUUGACCAAAAAAACUUAUUGAGGGAACCAAAAUAUUUUUAAUUUUAGAUUUUAUCAUGAGCUUUUCUAGGGAACAGUAAUUUCAUUCAUUAUAUUGUGUAUUGAUUAUAAUAUAAUGUAAAUAUUUGGUGUAAAUAAGAUUACAAUGAAUUACUAAAUCUUGUUCAAUUCCAUUUUAUUUAGUUAUACUUAUAAUCAAUAAUGAUUUUUUGAUUUGAGUCUUCUUCAUUCUGAUUUGUUAUUAAUAUUUUCUUAACAAUUUUGAAACCUAUAAGGUAAAAAUUACUAUGAAAAAUAAUAACUCCCUAUUAUAUUUGAUUGAAUAUAGAAAGUAUAAUUCAUUUAACUGCAAAAUAUGUUUCAAUUUGUAGAUAUUUAAUAUUUUGUAUAUAUUGUUUAAAUUAAAUGAAUACCACUUAUUGUAAUCAAUAUCUUAUCUCGUUUAUGAAUGACUUAUUAUAUUAAUUUUAAUAAACUUCUAAAAAAUAAACAUUUUUUUAGAAUAUAUAUGUAUAUAUGUAGAUAGGCAGUUAAUAAAAAAAUAUUAUUUUUAGUAAAAUAACUAUUUUAUAAUUUAGGUGAUGAUAAUAGUGGUGAUGUAUAUAAACCAAAAAACAUUGUCUCAUUAGAAAAUUAUGUUAUGAAGAUGACUGAGGGAGAGGGUGUUCAUUUUGUUAUGGCUGAUGGUGUAAGAAUUAACUUUAAUAUUAUAGUUAUUUGCCAUCUUUAAUUUACUUUAUUACUGUUUUUAGGGGUUUUCUGUUGAAGGUCAAGAAAGUUUUCAGGAGAUUUUGUCUAAACGACUGUAUUUAUGUCAAGUUUUGGCUGCCUUGAGUAUUCUGCGCCCUGAUGGACAUUUCAUGUGCAAAGUAUUUGAUAUAUUUACUGAAUUUAGUGCUGGAUUAUUGUUCCUUUUAUAUCAUUGUUUUAAACAAAUUAGUAUUUAUAAACCAGUUACAAGUCGACCAGCAAACUCUGAAAGGUUAUUUGAUGAUAAUGAAUUUAAGUAAUUUAAUUUUUAAAUUUAAAAAAAAAAUGUAUGUAUAGAUAUGUGAUUUGUAAAUGGAGAUUAGAUGAUAUACAAGACAUAAAAAAAUAUUUAUUUAAUGUAAAUUUAACUUGGGAUGGAUUAGAAUCAAAAGAAGAUAUUUUAUCAAUUGUUCCAUUGCAAAUUAUUCUCAAAGAUUCAUAUUUUUUUAAAUAUCUAUGGGAUUCUAAUAAUAAGUAAGUAAAGUUAUAUUAAUAUUUUAUUUAGUUUUGUAUGUUAUAUAUUUUUAUCUCCAAAGAAGUGGGAAUUAAGUCAAUUUUGUAUAGUUUUCAAUAAAAGCAAAUUAAAUUUUGAAAAAAUAUAUAUUUAUACAUAAAAUAAUACUCUUCAUAUACUAAUUUUAAAAAUACAUACACUUAUGCAAUUGAGAGAAAAUAAUUAUAAAAAAAAAAAAUAAAUAAAUGCCAUCAACUAUGUAUUUCUUCCUUAUUACCAAAUAUUUAUUAUAAUAGAUUUAAUCUUGAAAUGUGUAUUUUAUUUAGAUUAGGACAAAUUCAAUCAUUAGGUUUGUCAAAGAUUGUAGCUUAUACUAAAGAUCAACGUUUAGCUGAUGAAAGACAAAAAGACCUAAAAAAAAAAUGUUUAGAACUAUGGGAAGUUAAAGACGGUGUAAGACGUGCACCUUUUAGAAGUGAUCCUCAAGAUUUUUGUAAUUCUAUUGUUGCUGGAUCAAAGAGUAAUCAUAUUUUUAUGAAUUAUUUUUCACUUUAAAUAAUAUUUUACUUUAUUUAGAUUUCUUACAGUCAUCUCUAGAAGUCUUAAACAAAAACAGUUUACAAAAAUAUGUUAAAUCUGUAUAUGAUUGGCAUUGUGUUUUACUCAAUAUUUCUAAACCUCCUACUUUUUUUUUAAGUAUGUUCCAACUAUUAAAUGUUGUUUAAUUAAAUAAUUAAUUAUUAACUGAUUUUUAAUGUUACAGGUUUAGGUGGAAGUCAAGUAUAUGAAUUAGUUCAAAAUCAAUGGGUCAGUAAUGAAUAUUUAAAAAAUGUUACAAUGAGCCCUGGUACACUUGUUUAUGGUGAACUUGCUACUGAAAUAGAAGGUGAAAACUUAGGGCAACUUAGAGUACGAGUAUUGCAUAUUAUAGAUGCAUAUAAACUUGGUAACAUUGACAUUAGUAAUGAACAUUAUUUAUCGAGGUAACUUUUGUAAUUUAUUUAUCAAAUGGUUAUUAUUAUAUUGUUAUAUUAUUGAUCCAGGGUUGAGUAUUGUAAGGAAUUUGCCAAGUCCAUGAAUAAAAUUCAGUCAGAACAAAUAAAAAUUAGAGUAAAGGAACCUAUAUAUUUAGAAAAUAUUAAAGAUAUAUUUGAUAAAAUUGAUCUCAGAUGGUCCAAGUCUCAUCGUAAACCUGUUAAGAUGUUCAUGCUGGAUAGUAAUAAAUAUUGUUGUGCAUCUGGAAUAUUAUUUAUCAAAGCAACAUUAAGUAAUGCAUUUAUUAAUAUUAAUAUUAAUAUAAUUAUAUAUUUUUUAAAUUGUCACUUGUUUUUCAUUAUUAAUUAUUAAUUAUAGAUCCAUGGGUUAGGGCAUUAUCUCGUACUUAUAAUACAAUGUACUAUGGCCAUCCAACAAUGAAAGCUAUAUAUGAAGAAGGGAAUCCUGUAGCAGCAUAUGCUCCUUUUAGGUAAAAAUUCCUCCUGCUAAAAAUAUAUAACUGAAGUUAUAAUUUUAAAUAUUUAUUUAACAGGGAAUGUUGUAGUACUAAUAAGGUUUGGUACUGGAUGGAUGAAUUUGGAAAUCCAUUAAAAACAUCAGAUUCAACAUUACAAUUAGAACAAGAAGAUUUUGAUUUAUUUUUGAAGUGAUUUAAUUUAUUCUGAAUAUUUAUCCUACAAGAUUAUUUUGUGUUUAAUAAAUUUAAGUUUAUUGUGU